ACUGGCAAAGAGGAUUUGCCACUACAGAGUGAAGAGGAUGUGCCCCAACGACACCACUAUGCCCUUCGGGACAGGAAAAAGGCCUCUACCUAGUUCCUGAAAAUGAUGCUGAUGU